rnacentral:rRNA from 1 species
ACGAUGAAGAGUUUGAUCCUGGCUCAGGAUGAACGCUAGCGGCAGGCCUAACACAUGCAAGUCGAACGGUAACAGGGAAGAGCUUGCUUUUUUGCUGACGAGUGGCGCACGGGUGCGUAACGCGUAUACAAUCUACCUUUUACAGGGGGAUAGCCUUUAGAAAUGAAGAAUAAUACCCCAUAGUAUAUAAAUUUCGCAUGUUAUUUAUAUUAAAGAUUUAUCGGUAAAAGAUGAGUAUGCGUCCUAUUAGCUAGAUGGUGUGGUAACGGCACACCAUGGCAACGAUAGGUAGGGGCCCUGAGAGGGGGAUCCCCCACACUGGUACUGAGACACGGACCAGACUCCUACGGGAGGCAGCAGUGAGGAAUAUUGGACAAUGGAGGCAACUCUGAUCCAGCCAUGCCGCGUGCAGGAAGAC